rnacentral:rRNA from 1 species
UACGGGGGGGGCAAGCGUUGUUCGGAAUUACUGGGCGUAAAGGGCUCGUAGGCGGCCAACUAAGUCAUACGUGAAAUCCCUCGGCUUAACCGGGGAACUGCGUCUGAUACUGGAUGGCUUGAGAUUGGGAGAGGGAUGCGGAAUUCCAGGUGUAGCGGUGAAAUGCGUAGAUAUCUGGAGGAACACCGGUGGCGAAGGCGGCAUCCUGGACCGACACUGACGCUGAGGCGCGAAAGCUAGGGGAGCAAACGGG